CUUUUUUUUAGUGCAAAAAAAAAAACAAAAUAAAGAAGAAGAAACGAAAAACAGGGCCAGCAGCUUGAGCCCAAAUAUAUAACAAAUAUAACAUUUUAUGUGGUCAAAAUGAGCGUGCUGCCGUUCGUGCGCGGUGUGGACUUUACGAAAAAUGAUUUCAGCGCAACAUUCCCCAGCUCCAUGCGGCAGAUGUCGCGGGUGCAGUGGCUCACACUGGAUCGCACGCAGCUGGCGGAGAUUCCCGAGGAGCUCGGCCACCUACAGAAGCUGGAGCACCUGUCGCUGAACCACAACCGCCUGGAGAAGAUCUUUGGCGAGCUGACAGAGCUGUCCUGCCUGCGAUCCCUCGACCUGCGGCACAAUCAGCUAAAGAACAGCGGCAUACCGCCGGAGCUCUUUCACCUGGAGGAGCUGACCACGCUGGACCUGUCGCACAACAAGCUGAAGGAGGUGCCCGAGGGCUUGGAGCGGGCCAAGAACCUGAUAGUGCUCAACCUGAGCAACAAUCAGAUCGAGAGCAUACCCACGCCGCUGUUCAUCCAUCUCACGGAUCUGCUGUUCCUGGAUCUGUCGCACAAUCGACUGGAGACACUGCCGCCGCAGACGCGACGUCUGAUUAAUCUGAAAACCCUGGACCUAUCGCACAAUCCGCUGGAGCUGUUCCAACUGCGGCAAUUGCCCUCGCUGCAGAGCUUGGAGGUCCUCAAGAUGAGCGGCACGCAGCGCACACUCCUCAAUUUUCCCACCAGCAUAGACAGUUUGGCCAAUCUCUGCGAACUGGACCUGUCGCACAAUUCGCUGCCCAAGCUGCCAGACUGCGUCUACAAUGUGGUCACCUUGGUGCGACUGAAUCUGAGCGACAACGAGCUAACCGAACUGACUGCCGGUGUGGAGCUUUGGCAGCGUCUGGAGUCGCUGAAUCUGUCGCGGAAUCAACUGGUUGCGCUGCCGGCUGCCCUCUGCAAACUACCAAAGCUGCGGCGAUUGCUGGUGAACGACAAUAAGCUGAACUUCGAGGGCAUUCCCUCGGGUAUCGGCAAACUCGGAGCUCUGGAGGUGUUUACGGCAGCCAACAACCUGCUGGAAAUGGUGCCAGAGGGACUCUGCCGAUGCGGUGCUUUGAAGCAGCUCAACUUGAGCUGCAAUCGGCUUAUAACCCUGCCCGAUGCCAUCCACCUGCUCGAGGGCCUGGACCAGUUGGACCUGCGCAACAAUCCGGAGCUAGUGAUGCCGCCCAAGCCAAGCGAAGCGAGUAAAGCCACCAGUCUUGAGUUCUACAACAUAGAUUUUAGUCUGCAGACUCAGCUCCGGUUAGCUGGGGCUGCUGUGCCGCCUUCAAUGCCAUCGUCAGCAACGCCCAAGGAUUCGACGGCGAGGAAGAUCCGUUUACGACGCGGUCCUCGCAGUGAAGGCGAUCAGGAUGCUGCCAAGGUGCUCAAGGGCAUGAAGGACGUGGCAAAGGAUAAGGAUAACGAGGCGGGUGCUCUGCCCGAGGACGGAAAGCCAGAGUCGCUGAAACCUAAAAGAUGGGACGAGUCGCUGGAAAAGCCGCAACUGGACUACUCCAAGUUCUUUGAGAAGGACGAUGGCCAGCUGCCGGGCUUGACCAUUUGGGAAAUCGAGAACUUCCUGCCCAACAAAAUUGAGGAGGUGGUGCAUGGCAAAUUCUAUGAGGGCGACUGCUACAUAGUCCUCAAGACCAAGUUCGAUGACCUCGGCCUGCUCGAUUGGGAAAUAUUCUUUUGGAUAGGCAACGAGGCCACGCUGGACAAACGAGCUUGUGCUGCCAUUCAUGCAGUGAACCUAAGAAACUUUCUGGGCGCCCGAUGUCGAACGGUUCGCGAGGAGCAGGGCGAUGAAUCCGAGCAGUUUCUGUCCCUCUUCGAGACGGAAGUCAUCUACAUUGAGGGCGGACGCACAGCUACUGGUUUCUAUACCAUAGAAGAGAUGAUACACAUCACCAGAUUGUAUUUAGUGCACGCCUAUGGCGCUACCAUUCAUCUGGAGCCAGUGGCUCCUGCCGUUACCUCUCUGGAUCCCCGCCACGCCUUUGUCCUGGACUUGGGCACCCAUAUUUACAUUUGGAUGGGCGAGAGAUCGAAGAACACGCUGAACUCCAAGGCCAGGUUAAUGGCGGAAAAGAUCAGCAAAACGGAGCGCAAGAACAAGUGUGAAAUCCAGUUGGAGCGGCAGGGCGAGGAGAGUGCCGAGUUCUGGCAGGGACUGGACAUGACUCCGGAGGAGGCAGACGCCGCAGGGCCACCAAAGGAGCACGUUCCAGAGGACUAUCAGCCGGUGCAGCCUCGCCUCUACCAGGUGCAACUGGGCAUGGGUUAUCUGGAGUUGCCGCAAGUGGAGUUACCUGAGCAAAAACUUUGCCAUACCCUGCUAAAUAGCAAGCACGUCUACAUACUCGACUGUUACACCGAUCUGUUCGUUUGGUUUGGCAAGAAGUCGACGCGUUUGGUCCGAGCGGCCGCUGUCAAGUUGAGUCGGGAGCUCUUCAACAUGAUGGAUCGUCCGGAAUACGCGCUGGUGAUGCGUGUACCCGAGGGCAAUGAAAUGCAGAUCUUCCGGACCAAGUUCGCUGGCUGGGAUGAGGUAAUGGCCGUGGACUUCACGAGAACGGCGAAGUCGGUGGCCAAGACAGGGGCUAAUCUCACACAGUGGGCUCGGCAGCAGGAGACGCGCACGGAUCUUGCCGCGCUAUUUAUGCCCCGCCAGUCGGCCAUGCCCUUGGCCGAGGCGGAACAGUUGGAGGAGGAGUGGAACUACGAUCUGGAGAUGAUGGAGGCCUUUGUAUUGGAGAACAAGAAGUUCGUCCGGCUGCCCGAGGAGGAGUUGGGUCGCUUUUACACCGGCGAAUGCUAUGUGUUCCUCUGCCGCUACUGCAUUCCCAUCGAGGAGCCCGAGAAUGGCCCCGAAGAUGGUGCUAACCCAGCCGCAGACGUCAGUAAAUCCAGCGCCAACAAUCAGCCAGAGGACGAGAUCCAGUGCGUCGUUUACUUUUGGCAGGGACGCAAUGCCGGCAAUAUGGGAUGGCUCACGUUUACUUUUACGCUGCAGAAGAAGUUCAAGGCGAUGUUCGGCGAGGAGCUGGAGGUGGUGCGGAUCUUCCAGCAGCAGGAGAACCUCAAGUUCAUGUCCCACUUCAAGCGGAAGUUCAUCAUCCACACCGGCAAGCGGAAGGACAAGGCGCACAUCGCGAAGGGCAAGUCGCCAGUGGAGUUCUUUCACCUGCGAUCGAACGGCGGUGCGCUCACCACGCGCCUUAUCCAAAUCAAUCCGGAUGCAGUGCAUCUCAACUCGGCCUUCUGCUACAUACUCCAUGUGCCAUUUGAAACGGAGGAUGAUUCGCAGUCGGGGAUUGUGUACGUGUGGAUAGGCAGCAAGGCCUGCAACGAAGAGGCCAAACUGGUGCAGGAUAUUGCCGAGCAGAUGUUCAACUCGCCGUGGGUGAGCUUGCAGAUCCUCAACGAGGGCGACGAGCCGGAGAACUUCUUCUGGGUGGCGCUGGGCGGCCGCAAGCCCUACGACACGGACGCCGAGUACAUGAACUACACGCGGCUGUUCCGGUGCUCCAACGAGCGCGGCUACUACACGGUGGCCGAGAAGUGUGCCGACUUUUGCCAGGACGAUCUGGCCGACGACGACAUCAUGAUCCUGGACAACGGCGAGCACGUCUUCCUGUGGAUGGGGCCGCGUUGCAGCGAGGUGGAGGUGAAGCUGGCCUACAAGUCCGCCCAGGUCUACAUCCAGCACAUGCGGAUCAAGCAGCCGGAGCGGCCGAGGAAGCUCUUCCUCACGAUGAAGAACAAGGAGUCGCGCCGGUUCACCAAGUGCUUCCACGGCUGGAGCGCCUUCAAGGUGUAUUUAUAAUUCUAGCCAACUGAAGUGAAGGCGCAUCGUCGAGUAGUUCUUUUAAAUUUCCCUAAUUCAUGCACCGCCGCUAAGUGGCCAUUUAGGUCUCCGCAAAGAAAGCGCCUAAAAGGCGCUAGUUUUUGUCUUGCGCAUCAAAUGGCGCCUUCGAGUCCUGCCAGAGCUAGUGAAUCGCCCUCGGGAGGUGCAUUUAUUAACCAGAAGUCGAAGAGCACGCCUGCAAUGUGAGUUUAGUUUUAUGGAAUGGAUAGAGGCACCUCAGAGGUGUUACCCCAAUCUUGGCCCGUUAGAGGAGCCCCUUCGCGAUGUAAAUUGUGGUCGUACAGCAUUAAGUUAAGACUUCUGUUAGCCGGAUGCGGAUGUUGAUCGCUGGGAAGAUGCUGGGCAGCUGCCGUGACAGAGUAGCUGCCCCAGAAGACAUGACAAAGCAAAGUGUAUCGAGGGAAUAAGAAAGAAGGGGCAAGCAAGCCCUUUAGGUCGCGAGUGAAGAUCAUCUCACUUGCUCCCGCCCCUAACUAAUUAAUUAGCUAACAACUCCAAGAACGCCAAGUAUUCGCCCACUCCCUGCGAGAAACCCCAUGAGUAUAUUUAACGCAAAUAUACAUAUAUCACAUAUGCCUACAAAUACGCUGAGCUGAGAGGAUUACUCCCUGUGCUAGUCCUUUUAAAAUGUUAACCUACUUAAAGCUAGCCUGUAAUAAAGUCGAGGAAACACUAAAACUAAUUGUACAAA
rnacentral:misc_RNA from 1 species